CCUAAUUUUAAGUGGGUAUCUAUAAAACGCUUAGUUUUUACAAAAACGACCCCGCAUUUGUUUCUAUUCAACCCGCAGUCCUUUUUGGGGCAGAAACGCGUGCGCCGGAGCCAGGGAGCUCGGCUCCGCGCCACGCGCUCGCCCCGACCCCGCCUUCCUCCGCCGCCUCGCCACGCGCUCGCCCCGACCCCGCCUUCCUCCGCCGCCUCGCCACGCCGGCCGGCCUCACCGGAGAUCACCGCCGCCGCGACCAGGUCACGUGGCCGCCCCUGCCUUCUCCUCCUCCCUCACCUUCCUCCCUCCCUCUCACCAUCUCUCUCCCCCUCUCAUUGCAGUGCCACCAUGGCCGCCCCGAGCUUCGCCGGCAGCCGCGCCGCCCGCCUCCGGCCACGACUCCGACGGGAUCCGGCCGCCACUGCCCGGAUCCGCAUCCUCUGCUCCGCCGCGCCCCGGAUCCGGCCACCACCAAGCCUCCCGCGUCGAUCCUCCCGUCCGCCGGCCUCCCCCUGCUCGAUCUGGGUGGACGGGCGAAGUUUCUGACUUGCCGGGGCGGCCAUGGCAGGGAGGCAGCGCUGUGCUCGGGCGCCCGCAUCAGGCGGCGGCAGCGAGGCGGGAGGCAUGAGUGGAGAUGAAGGAGGAAAACAUGAAGAGUCGGCCAGAGCGAGGAGUUCUCUGGCAUCAAAGCCACGGACCACGGCGGCGCAAGCUUGCGAGGGGCGGCAGCCAUGGCGGGGAGGCGGCGCUACGCUCGGGCGUCGCAUUAGGCGGCAGCAGCGAGCGGGAUAGCACACGGAGAGGAAGGAGGAGAAAAUGAAGAGGCGUCCGGGAGCGAGGACCUCACCGGUGUCUAAGUCUCUGCCGGGCGGGACGCGCAGGCGCGCGAGGGGCACGACACUCCUCUCCUGGUGCGUGCGUCCUUGCCGAGUUGGCAAAGUUUUUCUUGGACGGACAGGGACGAUCCCGUUGCUGCCUCGCCGCUGGGAUUGAAGUAAGCCGGCCGACAUACCAAUGCAUCGGGGCUCCAUCGAAAUGUCAGGCGACUCAUAUAAGGGAUUGGGGAGGCAAAAUAUUACACAACUUGGGAAGGUAGAAAUCACGCGAGAGUUGCGCUCUUGGGGAGGGCAAGGAUUGCUGGGCGCUUGAUUUCUGGAAGGGGAUUCGUGAGGGAAUCGCUGAUUUGGAUUUUCGGGAGGCAAACAAGCAGCCUCGAGCAUAUUCCCCAUGCCAGAUGAAGAGGAGGAUGGUGGAGGGAAGGACCAGCGCUGGUGGUGGUCGUAUGGCAAGGGCGAUUGGUGGAGGGAGGAAAAGAGUAGGGCGACUGCUUCCUUCUCUCGCAUCCGCUUUCUCGCCCGUGUCACCGUGCCGUCAGGAGGACUCCGACAGUGACGAUUCCAGCGAAGCAGCAGCGGAAGACGAACACAACAGAGACGCACAAGCAGGAGACCAACAGGCAGUGGCAAGUCUUCUCUAUGCCUUACAAGUUCCACGUGUACUAGCUUUUAGUGCAGGUCAGUCGCCAACAGGGGACAUCGACAAGCAUGUACGUCGCCAGACGCGUCUCUCUCCACCUGCAGGAUGAUUUUCCGUGGCACGGCCUUCCUCAGCCAAAUAAAUCUCUCGCCUUGUCAAGCAAAAGAUUAGUGAUCUCGUGCAAGAUCUAAAUGUUACCAGUGAUGAUGGCUCUACAGAAACGAACAACUGCGAGCACUCAGAUUCUUCAUUUACGAAAUGUUCAACCAAUUCGACCAUGUCAGAUGCAGUUUUGCUUGGAAGGGAGCUGGUAUAUUUGUAAUUGAUGUGUAUGAUGGCAUGUCUUCUGAAUGCAAGCUUCGUCUCAAUAGGAGAUCCUCCAACUUCAGUGUAUUGAAGUUUGACGGAUUGGAGAAUCAGAUGGUAGUCGCUGGAGAUGCAAGGAACUCCCAUGCUUGCAGCGAUGCACUUGGUGGGCAUUCCUUGCAUUUGUCCUGUAGAAUCACGCGGGUACAUGUAUUUAAUUAUAGCAAAGUCACCAUGUCUUUAUCAUGCCAGUAUGCCAAUGCCCAGAAAUUAGAUAACAGAGGGAAGUCACCAGCUCUGAAAGCAUACCAAAUAUUUCAGUUUUUAGGCCACUGCUCAAUUUUGAAGAGCUACUCCUUUGAACUAGAUAUGUGAGCUUUUUGUAAACUACAGGAUAUCAUAGUUUGCUAACUGGAAAAAGAACUCUUUGAUGUUGGGCAUAUCCUGUAGUACUUAAAUCAUUAUUUUUUUACACAUGUGAUGCAAAUCUUAUUCGUUUAGAAAAAUGGUGAAUCUACAGGAUUGGUAUGAA